AUUGAACGCUGGCGGCAGGCCUAACACAUGCCAGUCGAACGAGUGGCGGACGGUUGUGUAAUGUCUGGGAAACUGCCUGAUGGAGGGGGAUAACUACUGGACACGGUAGCUAAUACCGCUUACCAUCGCAUGUGCCCAGAUGUGAUUAGCGAGUAGGUGGGGUAACGGCUCACCUAGGCGACGAUCCCUAGCUGGUCUGAGAGGAUGACCCGCCACACUGGAAUGGAGACACGGUCCAGACUCCGACGGGAGGCAGCAGUGGGGAAUAUUGCACAAUGGGCGCAAGCCUGAUGCAGCCAGUCCGCGUGUAUGAAGAAGGCCUUCGGGUUGGAAAGUACUUUCAGCGGGGAGGCGUUACCCGCAGAAGAAGCACCGGCUAACUCCGUGCCAGCAGCCGCGGUAAUAC
rnacentral:rRNA from 1 species